rnacentral:piRNA from 1 species
UGAGCUAAUAUAGCAGAGAGGAGGGAGUAG